UACGUAGGGGGCUAGCGUUGUCCGGAAUCAUUGGGCGUAAAGCGCGUGUAGGCGGUUCGGUAAGUCCGCUGUGAAAGUCGGGGGCUCAACCCUCGGAUGCCGGUGGAUACUGUCGGACUAGAGUACGGAAGAGGCGAGUGGAAUUCCUGGUGUAGCGGUGAAAUGCGCAGAUAUCAGGAGGAACACCGAUUGCGAAGGCAGCUCGCUGGGACGUUACUGACGCUGAGACGCGAAAGCGUAGGGAGCAAACAGG
rnacentral:rRNA from 1 species